CUGUGGCCCUGGUCACUGCAGCAACCAACAGGGCCAGCCACCAGCCAGCAGAUGGCACUGUUGAAGUAAAAUCUGAGGGAGACCAAAGAGCUGAAGAAGCUGAACAAAGACAAUUCAGAGGGAUGAACAGAAGUCACUUUGAGUCAUACAGGCAACUUUCACUCUCGGCUCAAGCAUCACCAUCCUGGAAGACAGAGCAUAGUGUAG